rnacentral:tRNA from 1 species
AUGACUAUGGCGAAAUGGUAAACGCGGUUAGUUUAGGUCUAAUUAUUUAAUUAAAUUAAGGGUUCAAAUCCCUUUAGUCAUA